GCAGGAGUGGCGGAACAGGCAGACGCGUAUGUUUGAGGGGCAUAUGCUGAAUAGGCGUGAGGGUUCGAGUCCCUUCUCCUGCACCA
rnacentral:tRNA from 1 species